rnacentral:rRNA from 1 species
AUUGAACGCUGGCGGCAUGCCUUACACAUGCAAGUCGAACGGUAACGCGGGGCAACCUGGCGACGAGUGGCGAACGGGUGAGUAAUACAUCGGAACGUGCCCAGUAAUGGGGGACAGCCCGGCGAAAGCCGGAUUAAUACCGCAUACGACCUAAGGGUGAAAGAGGGGGAUCGCAAGACCUCUCGUUAUUGGUGCGGCCGAUGGCAGAUUAGGUAGGUGGUGGGGUAAAGGCCUACCAAGCCGACGAUCUGUAGCUGGUCUGAGAGGACGACCAGCCACACUGGGACUGAGACACGGCCCAGACUCCUACGGGAGGCAGCAGUGGGGAAUUUUGGACAAUGGACGCAAGUCUGAUCCAGCAAUGCCGCGUGCGGGAAGAAGGCCUUCGGGUUGUAAACCGCUUUUGUCAGGGAAGAAAUCUUCUGGGUUAAUACCUCGGGAGGAUGACGGUACCUGAAGAAUAAGCACCGGCUAACUACGUGCCAGCCGCCGCCGUAACAC